GAAUUUUGGACAAUGGGCGAAAGCCUGAUCCAGCACUGCCGCGUGCAGGAUGAAGGCCUUCGGGUUGUAACCUGCUUUUGUACGGAACGAAAAGCUUUUGUUUAAUCCCCUGGAGUCCUUACCGUACCGUAAGUAUAAGCACCGGCUAACUACUUGCCAGCAGCAGCGGUAAUACGUAGGGUGCAAGCGUUAAUCGGAAUUACUGGGCGUAAAGCGUGCGCAGGCGGUGUUGUAAGACAGAGGUGAAAUCCCCGGGCUCAACCUGGGAACUGCCUGUGUGACUGCAAGGCUAGAGUACGGCAGAGGGGGGUGGAAUUCCGCGUGUAGCAGUGAAAUGCAUAGAUAGGCGGAGGAACACCGAUGGCGAAGGCAACCCCCUGGGCCUGUACUGACGCUCAUGCACGAAAGCGUGGGGAGCAAACA
rnacentral:rRNA from 1 species